rnacentral:sRNA from 1 species
ACACAGGUAACUGUGCCUCACAUACAAUGUAGCUUCGAUGGACAUGAACGAGCUUAAGUGAAUAAGAAGUGGUAUAUCUAUUGGCCAGGAUUGAUCGUGCACCCAAUUAAUUAUUUUAAAAUUAUUUAUCUUUAAUUUGAAUGUUAAAAAAUACUAAAAGAGCACUUCGUGGUUGGUUGUCCCUUUUGUCCGGAUCUACGCACGGUAUAAGUGAUUGUAAUGUAAUACGCACAAAUCUGGAAAAGUUGAGUUUAUAAUAUUAUAUUUUUGUUCUUAAGUUUACAUUCAAUUUGUUUUACUAUAAAAUUACAAUAUAUUCAU